UACGGGUGGGGCAAGCGUUGUUCGGAAUUACUGGGCGUAAAGGGCUCGUAGGCGGCCAACUAAGUCAGACGUGAAAUCCCUCGGCUUAACCGGGGAACCGCGUCUGAUACUGGAUGGCUUGAGUUUGGGAGAGGGAUGCGGAAUUCCAGGUGUAGCGGUGAAAUGCGUAGAUAUCUGGAGGAACACCGGUGGCGAAGGCGGCAUCCUGGACCAAUACUGACACUGAGGAGCGAAAGCCAGGGGAGCAAACGGG
rnacentral:rRNA from 1 species